CAGUUCAGAUGCAGUUUCUUUUGUAAGGAAUCAGCUUCGACAACAUGGAGAUGUCCAGCUAGCUUGUUAUGCGCUUGCUGAAGCUGCUCUGGCAACAACUAAUUGAAUGGAUUGUGUUUAUUCUGACCAUAGCGCUGGAUUAUGUCAGGAAAGUCCAAAAUGCUUGAAAUUUUGGUUGCUUGAAACUUUUAUUUUUUUGAUGACAUGGUUGCCUGAAACUUUGGUUGCUAUUGUUUUGCAUGUAUUUUGGUGAAUGUCAUAUAUCUAAUUUUGGUUGCUGUUGGUUGCUUGGAUUAUGCUUAUUGAAAUUUUGGUUGUCAAUUACUAAGUGGCAUAUAUGUAAUGCUCAAAUUACAAAUUUUUGUCAAGGUUGUCCAGAAUACAUAAUGUACAAUGACAACUAUAGAUUCUUUUCUGCAA